CGGCGUGGUUAAGACAUGCAAGUCGAACGCUGGUUUGCGGGUAGCAAUAUUUGCAAACAGAAGUGGCGCAAGGGUGUGUAACACGUGGGUAAUCUGCCAUGAAGUCUGGGAUAACUUGCUGAAAGGCGAGCUAAUACCGGAUGUGAAUGUAAAUUCAAAGUUGGGGACCGUAAGGCCUGACGCUUCAUGAUGAGCCCGCGGCCUAUCAGCUAGUUGGUGAGGUAACGGCUCACCAAGGCUAAGACGGGUAGCUGGUCUGAGAGGACGACCAGCCACACUGGAACUGAGACACGGUCCAGACACCUACGGGUGGCAGCAGUCGAGAAUUUUUCUCAAUGGGCGAAAGCCUGAAGAAGGGACGCCGCGUGGGGGAUGAAUGGCUUCGGCCCUUAAAGUGCUGUCAUUUGGAACAAAUUGUUUCACCUAACAC
rnacentral:rRNA from 1 species